UACGAAGGGGGCUAGCGUUGCUCGGAAUUACUGGGCGUAAAGCGCACGUAGGCGGAUUCUUAAGUCAGGGGUGAAAUCCCGGAGCUCAACUCCGGAACUGCCUUUGAUACCGAGAAUCUCGAGUCCGGGAGAGGUGAGUGGAACUCCGAGUGUAGAGGUGAAAUUCGUAGAUAUUCGGAAGAACACCAGUGGCGAAGGCGGCUCACUGGCCCGGUACUGACGCUGAGGUGCGAAAGCGUGGGGAGCAAACAGG
rnacentral:rRNA from 1 species